AUGAGGACGGACACGGUGCCUGCUUCCCUGUGGAAGACUAGUGAUUUUGUUGUUGUAUGGCUCAUCCCACCACAACAAGUCACAGUCUGCCCUAGGGCACACGGCCUCUGCAGCGACGCUGAAC
rnacentral:pre_miRNA from 12 species